AAAAGAGUAACACAGAAGAAGGAAUUUGAAAAGAGUAACACAGAAGAAGGUAUUGAAAAGAGUUACACAGAAGAAGGUAUUGAAAAGAGUUACACAGAAGAAGGUAUUGAAAAGAGUUACACAGAAGAAGGUAUUGAAAAGAGUAACACAGAAGAAGGUAUUGAAAAGAGUAACACAGAAGAAGGUAUUGAAAAGAGUUACACAGAAGAAGGUAUUGAAAAGAGUAACACAGAAGAAGGUAUUGAAAAGAGUUACACAGAAGAAGGAAUUUGAAAAGAGUAACACAGAAGAAGGUAUUGAAAAGAGUAACACAGAAGAAGGUAUUGAAAAGAGUUACACAGAAGAAGGUAUUGAAAAGAGUAACACAGAAGAAGGUAUUGAAAAGAGUUACACAGAAGAAGGUAUUGAAAAGAGUAACACAGAAGAAGGUAUUGAAAAGAGUUACACAGAAGAAGGUAUUGAAAAGAGUUACACAGAAGAAGGUAUUGAAAAGAGUAACACAGAAGAAGGUAUUGAAAAGAGUUACACAGAAGAAGGUAUUGAAAAGAGUUACACAGAAGAAGGAAUUUGAAAAGAGUAACACAAGAAGAAGGAAUUUGAAGAGAAAUAACACAAGAAGAAGAAAUGUGAAGUAACACCAGAAGGAAAAUGCAGAGAAGUAACACUAGAAAAAUGAAAAUGGAAAUGAAAAGAAUCAUCCACCUUUCGGCCCAAACCAACAUCACAAAAUUAUGGGCGAGUCUCUUCUGGGAGGAAAGCGGCUCGUUCAGACCCAGGAACACCAGAAAGGAUGAUAGAAACAUCAAGAAAAGGAAAACAGAAAAGUCAUCCACCUUUCGGCCCCUGGGGCCGCAGGGCGGGUGACGGGUGAGUCUUCUGGGGAGGAGGAGGCUCAUCCACAGCCAGCAACACCAACAGAAAGAAAAGAAAACAUCAAGAGAAAAGAAAAGAAAACAUCAAGAGAAAAGAAAAGGAAAAGAAAAGAAAAAAACAAAGUAAACAAAGCAAAACAAGACAAAACAAAAACAAAACAAAAUAAAACAAAUUAAAACAACAUAAUAAAUAAAUAAAUAAACAACCCAAUAACAAACAAUAUAAUUUAGCUACUGGGACUGCUCAAACGAUCGAGAUCAGCUUGGAAGUGUUCUUUAUCCGUUGUCGUAGUGACUCUGCUGGCUAUGUUUGUGUCGUCGGCAAAUUUCGAUAUUUUACACGAUAGCCCCUCGUCAAUGUCAUUUACGUACACUAAAAACAGAACAGGUCCCAACAUCGACCCCUGUGGAACACCGCUUUUGACAUCUCGCCAGUCAGAUAACAUAAGAACAUAAGAACGUUGGAAUCUGCAAGAGGCCGGUAGGCCUAUACAAGGCAGUUCCUUUGACCC